UUAGGAAUCUUGCGCAAUGGGCGAAAGCCUGACGCAGCCACGCCGCGUGGGGGAAGACGGCCCUCGGGUUGUAAACCCCUUUCAGCAGGGACGAAAAUGACGGUACCUGCAGAAGAAGCCCCGGCCAACUACGCGCCAGCAGCCGCGGUAACACGUAGGGGGCAAGCUUUGUCCGGAAUUAUUGGGCGUAAAGAGCUCGUAGGCGGUUUCGUAAGUCAGAUGUGAAAACUCAGGGCUCAACCCGGAGACGCCAUCUGAUACUGCCAUGACUAGAGUCCGGUAGAGGAGCGUGGAAUUCCCGGUGUAGCGGUGAAAUGCGCAGAUAUCUGGAGGAACACCAGCGGCGAAGGCGGCGCUCUGGGCCGGAACUGACGCUGAGUAGCGAAAGCGUGGGGAGCAAACAGGAUUAGAUACCCCCGUAGUCC
rnacentral:rRNA from 1 species